rfam:Toxocara canis scaffold891, whole genome shotgun sequence.
GACGGUUUAGCUCAGUGGUAGAGCGCUCGCAUUGCAUGCGAGAAGCCGAGGGUUCGAACCCCUCAUUCUCCA